GCCUCGGUGGCGGAAUUGGUAGACGCGCUGGUCUCAAACACCAGUGUUUUAACGAACAUGCCGGUUCGAGUCCGGCCCGGGGUACAA
rnacentral:tRNA from 1 species